GUAGGGGCGGUCGGAACGAUCGGUGGAGUGGUGAAAUGCGUUGAUAUCGAUCGGAACGCCGAAGGAGAAAUCAGGCCGCUGGGCCUGUCCUGACGCUGAGGUACGAAAGCGUGGGGAGCGAACGGGAUUAGAUACCCCGGUAGUCCACGCCGUAAACGAUGUGCACUAGAUCGAGGAAGUUCUGACACUGUUCUCGGUCGAAGCGAAAGUGUUAAGUGCACCGCCUGGGGAGUACGGUCGCAAGGCUAAAACUCAAAGGAAUUGACGGGGGCUCACACAAGCGGUGGAGCAUGUGGCUUAAUUCGAAGCAACGCGAAGAACCUUUCCUGGAUUGAACUACGACGGAUUAGCUCUUGGAAACAAGAGUGACGCCCUCGGGUGGAACGUCGAUAGGUGCUGCAUGGCUGUCGUCAGCUCGUGCUGUGAAGUGUCGGGUUAAGUCCCUUAACGAGCGCAACCCCUGUCGCUAGUUGCCAGCGAGUCAUGUCGGGGACUCUAGCGAGACUGCCGGUGUCAAACCGGAGGAAGGUGGGGAUGACGUCAAGUCCGCAUGGCCUUUAUGUCCAGGGCUGCACACGUGCUACAAUGGCAGGUACAGAACGACGCAAUACCGCGAGGUGGAGCAAAUCGCCAAAACCUGCCCCAGUUCAGAUUGCAGGCUGCAAUUCGCCUGCAUGAAGUUGGAAUCGCUAGUAAUCGGAGAUCAGCUACGCUCCGGUGAAUACGUUCCUGAGCCUUGUACACACCGCCCGUCAAGUCAUGGAAGCUGGUAGCGCCCGAAGUCGCCCCGAUUCAGGGGUGCCCACGGUGAGGCCGGUGACUGGGACUAAGUCGUAACAAGGUAGCCGUAGGGGAACCUGCGGCUGGAUCACCU
rnacentral:rRNA from 1 species